rnacentral:rRNA from 1 species
AACGAACGCUGGCGGCAUGCCUAACACAUGCAGGUCGAACGAGACCUUCGGGUCUAGUGGCGCACGGGUGCGUAACGCGUGGGAACCUGCCCUUAGGUUCGGAAUAACUCCCCGAAAGGGGUGCUAGUACCGGAUAAUGUCUUCGGACCAAAGAUUUAUCGCCUUUGGAUGGGCCCGCGUUGGAUUAGCUAGUUGGUAGGGUAAAAGCCUACCAAGGCGACGAUCCAUAGCUGGUCUGAGAGGAUGAUCAGCCACACUGGGACUGAGACACGGCCCAGACUCCUACGGGAGGCAGCAGUGGGGAAUAUUGGACAAUGGGCGAAAGCCUGAUCCAGCAAUGCCGCGUGAGUGAUGAAGGCCUUAGGGUUGUAAAGCUCUUUUACCCGGGAUGAUAAUGACAGUACCGGGAGAAUAAGCUCCGGCUAACUCCGUG